rnacentral:snRNA from 1 species
UAAAACUUUAUCCUGCUCAACUAAAACUCAGUACAGACAAGAUUAGCCUGACGCUGCUCAAGGAUGACACUGGAAUCUGUGAUGCAUCCCACCUUUUU